rnacentral:lncRNA from 1 species
CUCCUCGUCUCCGGUGACAAGAACACUUCUUUCCAUUUGGUGUGUGGGGGGGGGGGGGCUGCCUUCCACCUGGAGUCCCUGCUCCUGCUUUCAGGAGGAAAUGUUUGGGGGAAGGUCAGAGCCUUGUUGGGGGGUCAGAGCCUUGUUUGGGGGAGGUUAGAGCUUGUUAGGGGGUCAGAGCCUUGUUGGGGGGGGUCAGAGCCUUAUUGGGGGGUGUCAGAGCCUUGUUGGGGGGUCAGAGCCUUGUUUGAGGGGGUCAGAGCCUUGUUUGGGGGAGGUCAGAGCCUUGUUGGGGGGUCAGAGUCUAGUUUGGGGGAGGUUAGAGCCUUGUUAGGGGGUCAGAGCCUUGUUGGGGGGGUCAGAGCCUUAUUGGGGGGUGUCAGAGCCUUGUUUGAGGGGGUCAGAGCCUUGUUUGGGGGAGGUCAGAGCCUUGUUGGGGGGUCAGAGUCUUGUUUGGGGGAGGUUAGAGCCUUGUUAGGGGGUCAGAGCCUUGUUGGGGGGGGUCAGAGCCUUAUUGGGGGAGGUCAGAGCCUUGUUGGGGGGUCACAGCCUUAUUGGGGGGUCACAGCCUUGUUUAGGGGGUCACAGCCUUGUUGGGGGGUCAUAGCCUUGUUGGGUGGGUCAGAGCCUUGUUUUGGGGAGGUCACAGCUUUGUUUGGGGGUCAGAGCCUUGUUUGGGGGGGUCAGAGCCUUAUGGGGGGGCGUCACAGCCUUUCUUGCACCUGCUGUUUUUCAAGUGCCUUUGGUGCAAAUGACCAAUAUGCGGAAGUGACAUCUUUUGGAGCAGCUGUCCUGAGCAGCUUCACUGAUGACGUUGAGCAUCUUGCCAUGUACUUACCAGCCACCUGUGAAUCUUCUUUGGAGAAACAUCUGUCCAAGUGCUUUGUCCACUUCUUAAUGAGGUUGUCUGUCCUUUUGUCACUGAGUUGUAAGAGUUCCUUAUCUAUCUGUGUCAGAUGUAUGAUCUGCAAACAUUUUCUCCCCUCUGUAGCUUGCCUUCUCUUGAUAAUGUCCUUUGAUGCACAAAAGUUUUUAAUUUUAGUGAAGAGCAAUCUUUCUAUUUUUUUUUUUAACUUUGUUACUAGUGCUUUUGGUGUCACAGCUAAGAAUCCAACACCAAACUGA